rnacentral:lncRNA from 1 species
CGUGACCAAAUUUUCUUAAUUCAAGACACUUAACUCUCAUAUAACACUCGACAAAAAAAACCUCUCGACACGAUGACGACAUAACACUUAGAAAGAAAAAUUCUACUCUCAAAUCUCUUCCUCCUCGAGUCGCCAUGGUUUCAUUCGGCCAAAACUCCGACCGUCGUCGCACACAUCCCUCCGAUCUCGCACAUCCCUCCGAAUCGAUUCCACCGGGUAAGUCUGCUCCUCCUCUUUCUCCAGAAGUUUUCUUCAGUUUCAUUUUGUGAAAUUUGUGUAUAAAUUCUUAGGGUUUGAAAUUGUUUUGUGAAAUUUGUGUUUGAUUAUUUCUCUUACAUGCUUAAUCUGUAAAAAAAUUGUUGGAUUUAGUGUUUGGGUAUCAUCUAGCGUUUGGAAUUGGAGGUUUCGAGUUGGGUUUUGAUUUUCUCUUCCAUCGUGGGUGUUCUUGUGUUCUUGACAUAUAUGUUGCCUACUAGUAUGAUAAAAUGUUUCUCUAGUUUUGGUUUUGGUUUUCUUCGUUAAAAAAAAAAUGGGAAAAUUGGCUUUUUUAGACUUAAACUUUGGAAAAAUGUUAAAUGUAUACUUAAACUUUUAUACAGUGCUAUAUCAUACUUAAUAUAUAUUAACAUUUGAAAUUUAUCUUUAAUCUUCUUUUUAAUUUGAAUUUCUUCUUUAAACUUUGUUUUUUGUGCGUAAAACAAUUAUAAGCCAAACGCUGUUAAAUAUCCUGUUAAGUCCCACAUAGUCCACGCAGGAGAUGAUGUGUUUUGGCUUCUAUAGUUUUAAAAAAAAAAAAUGACUUUGUGGGGUUUAGGAGAAAUUGAUUUUUUUUAAAAAAGAAAAAAUCUAGGCAAUCGGUCUUUCUUCGAACCAUCCCCAUCAUCGAAACAAAUCGAGUUAACUCCACCUGCGAUUGAAAAACAGAGGCCAAAGCACAGAGGAUCAUAUGCUAUUAUGCAUCACUUACGUCUAAAAGCACAGUGGUUUAGAAAAAUAGAAAUUCUUUUUUUUUCUUAACUCCCCUAAAGUUUCUCAGGUCACCGUCAAUGAUUAUUACAGAUCCGACUUCUCAAUUUCCGAUAUGGGUUUUCUGGAAUUCGGCUUUGUAAUUCCCAAUUUUUACUUCCUCCAAAUUCUCGAAUUUGAUUGAAUCGCAUUCUUAAUUGAGUUUGUGUUGUGCAAUAAUCAUUGAUUUUCCUGUUGGGACAAUAAGAAUCAUGUCAAAACUGUGACUUUUAGAAAACUUUCAGUAGCUAUAGUCUUCCCUAUCAAAAUUGUGUCGCUCUCUUAAUUCUCCGAUGCGAAAUUCAAAGUCCGGCUGUUAGAGACAUGCUCGGCAAAAGUCACAUCGGAUCCUGCUAAAGACGAUUCGCUUACUUCGAUCCCCUCUCCCUCCCUCUCCUUGUUUAGAUUAGAGUACGAUUUUUCUUUUCAGAAAUCGAAAACUGCAAAUAAAGUCAUUGCUUACCAGGAUGCCACCUAGACUUGAUUUAACGGACCCUUAACAGCGUUUAGACAAUAUAGGUUUAGGCACAAAAAAAUAGUUUAGGUAUAAAAUUUUAUUAAUUAAGAAGUUGAAGAAUGUUUAGGCCCCAUAUACAAAGUCAGGUAUAAAUUUAAUAUAUUUUUAUAGUUUAGGUUGGAAAAAGCCAAUUUCCAAAAAAAUGCCUAUCUAGUUUUGGUUUUUCAAAAAUCGUUUGAUUGGAACUAGUAAGAUAAGAUUGUGAAGCCACUGUUGGUUUAUCAAAGCUUUUGUUUCCUUAUUAUAAGUGUCGAAAACCAUGAAGUAGAAUAAGGAUACUUAGUUACAACUUUUUCUUUGACAAAUGAAAUAUCUUUUGUGCUGUUUGGUGUUAGCAUUUUUUUUUCAAUUAACAUUAUUUUGGCUGUGCAGUAAAGACUUUUUGUGUUUGUAUUUGUAACUUUGUAUAAUACAGACGUUUUGUGUUUGUAAAUUUGCAUCAGAAUGACUUAUGUGUUGUUGGUUAGAUUUGUUCUUUACUUAAUGCCACUUAAGGGCAUAAGAAGAUAUAUUUUCAAAUUCUCUUGCUUAAUACUGGUUUCACGAUUUGCCAUGUCUUUAUGCUAAAGCUUCUCUACUUAAUUUCUUUUAGAUUGUCAGGUUUUCUCUCUUGCUUUAUGAUGAAUGCUUCUACUAAACCAAGGUAUGUGAUUUCUUAUCAUUAAUUCUUGCUGUGUAAGAUUUUCUUUGUUUGUUAUGUUUCAAGAGAUGAAACUGAGAAGGCCUGCUUAAUAGUAGUUUGAAGAUUUGGCAUGUCUUUAGCUGAAGCUUCUUCACUUAAUUUCUUUCAUAUUGUCUGUUAUUCUCUUGCUUUAUGAUGAAUGCUUUUAUUAAACCAAGGGUGAUUUUAUAAUUAACUAGGUUUGUACCUGCGCAUACGCGCGGGUUUUGUUUCACAUGAUAUUUUUAACAAUAUGUUUGUUUUGAUAUAUAUACAUAGUUAAUUAUAAAAAUAUGAUAACUUGUUUGAUUGUUUAGUAUUAGUUUUUUUUUUAUUAAAAUUUUUAUUAAACAAAUAACUUUUUUUAGGAUUGAAAGUAGGAUAAGUAGAAAAAUUAUUUUACUAUUCUAAAAAUCAUAAACAUAAUAUGAAUAAAAAAAAGAGAUAAAAAAGUGACGCUAAGAACAAAGGACUCAUGAGCCUUCUUCAACAACCCAUCAUGCCUCUUAGAGAAGGUAACUUGUCUGCUAUUUGGAACCUCUUUAUCACGAUUUUUUCACGUCCCAUCUUAAUUUGAACAUCUUAAUUUCAAUAUCGCAUAGAACACAAUAUGAGAAAAUGUUCAAUCUUUAUUCUGUCUUCAAGUCCCCAAAAUUGACAAACAAAUAAAAGAGAGAUUGAAUUUAUAGCCAUAGUGAGGGAAUGAACAUGAGAUAAAAUAGUAGGAAAAGAAGAUGAAAUAAAACAUUAAAGGAUUUGUCCUCCUUGCUAAGGUGACGCAAAAAUAGAGAGGGAUCACCAUCUGAUUGUUUUGGUGGAAAAAAAAAAAAGUUCCAUGAGGGAGUAACUCGUUACAUCACAAUAUCAUUCGCAAAAGAACCAUUAACCAAAGAAAUUGAUUUUGUCUUACGGGGAAAUAUUAUUGACCAAGAAAUCGAGAACCUAAAGGCAUCCAUGUUCAGCUUUUUCAAUAGUUGAACAUCUUCCUGCAAAGUUUUAAUUUCAUCAUUUGUUGUUCACACUUAUUUGUAAGGGAAUAAAUAAUCUGCUCGCUCAACAUAACACAUCGAAUAUAUACCUUGUAAUGAUGAUAGAAAUCAACUCCCAGCCUGCCGUCAAGGUUAUUGAUAUUUUCUGCAGAUUUAAAUCAAAAAUGCUCUCAUGGCUAAAAUCCAUACCAAAAAGUGACUUGUACAUAUAGUCUAAUAACAAUUUUUUUUUUCAUACUUGACUGAUCGCUUAGAAGAGGAGGAAAGACCUGAAUGUUUAUGGGUGAAUGUGUCCUAAAUGCUCACACAUCGGCCUCCUUCUUUUGGUGCACCUUCAUGCUGUACCAAACAAAAGCAAGAAAAAUCUUUUAAAACAAAAACAAUGUUCAGAAUUCAGAAUCCUUUAAAUUAGGAACUUGAAAACGAAGCAUUAGUCUAUAGAGUUUCAUUAUUACGCGCACUAUUACGUGUACGUGCACUCUUAUCAGCUAAAUGAUUAGAUCUGCUGCUAAAAAAGCCUAAUCAUCAUCAAAAAGGAAUGGGGGGGUUUAGGUCUACGUUCCCAGAAAAAAAUCUUCAAUUACGUAAAGUAUAUUUCAGCCGAAAUUACAUAUGACGUGCAUGUAAAGCAGUGUUAUCGGUCACUGCUUCAGUAUUUGAAGAGAGAUACGAAAUUAAAGUAAAAAGGAGGGGAAUAGUCACCAGGCGAGAGUUGGAGGCGAUGUUUGCGAGCUCCAUUUUUGGUAUUUAGAUGUGGGUUUUUUUUUUUAUGGGAGAACAGUCCACAUAUGAAAGUUUAAUGGUUUUUGGUAUGAUUUUUUGGGGAGAGAUUUGGUGGAAACAAUAGCAGGACUCGUAGACGUAGGGGUGGGAUUAGUGGGGGUGGGAUUUGUAGGGUGCGAAAAGCGGAUUGAUAAAUGAGGAAAGAGUAAUCAUUAAUAAAUUAAAGGAGGAGUGGGUGGUUAAUUGACAUUAACAGAACAUAAUGGAAGAUUGACCGUAAGAAGAAGAUGAAGUAGUGAAUGAGGAGAACAAAGGAGUUAAAAAGUAGGAAUGAAAAUAAAUUAAAAGGUGGACAGGUGUCCUCCAUUCCACUGCUGACGUGGCAGCAGGAUGGAGAGAGUUGGCGUAAAAUCAUAUAUAUGAUUAUGGCUAUGUAAUAACAUCUUUGAUUUGUUAUGUUCGAUAGAUGCAACAGAGAAGGCUUGCAGACUUCAGCUUCAGGUCUUUAAUACUUCUUUGUUCUGACAAUUGUAUAGACAUAUUUGUCCACAAAUUCAUCCGAACAACUUGGCAAGGCUACUACAAUACACCAUGGAGCAGCUGGAAAUAUGUUCCUUGAGAGAGGAAAGAUGUGUGGUGGCAGACUUAAGUGUUUGUUUUCUCUAAGUUAACUAUUUCUUUUACUCAACACAAUGAAUGUUGUUUACUAACUUACAAAUACUAAUUUUUUUCUUUGAAGAUCUCAAGGUUGGCGUGACAACUCUCAAAGGAAACUUGGUGGAGUUGAAGAAUGAGUUUAAGGAGAUGGUUCACAAUGAACAAUUCUCUUUGGAUUAAGACCCUACCACGACUACUAACCCGGCUACGAUAGUGCUGGGUACUACCCCGUUAGAUAAGUGGUGUGCUAAUGUUUUUGGGAUUAAAAUGUUCAUCUUUUGUAAGUCUUUAGACUUUAUAAUUCUUUUGGUAAUAUAUGAUUGGAUCUUUGUAAAACAUUUGGUAAUAUAUGAUAUUGGAUUUUAGAAUUUUAAAUUCAAG